GGAGCUAACGCGUUAAGUCGACCGCCUGGGGAGUACGGCCGCAAGGUUAAAACUCAAAUGAAUUGACGGGGGCCCGCACAAGCGGUGGAGCAUGUGGUUUAAUUCGAUGCAACGCGAAGAACCUUACGUACUCUUGACAUCCAGAGAACUUAGCAGAGAUGCUUUGGUGCCUUCGGGAACUCUGAGACAGGUGCUGCAUGGCUGUCGUCAGCUCGUGUUGUGAAAUGUUGGGUUAAGUCCCGCAACGAGCGCAACCCUUAUCCUUUGUUGCCAGCGGUUAGGCCGGGAACUCAAAGGAGACUGCCAGUGAUAAACUGGAGGAAGGUGGGGAUGACGUCAAGUCAUCAUGGCCCUUACGAGUAGGGCUACACACGUGCUACAAUGGCGCAUACAAAGAGAAGCGACCUCGCGAGAGCAAGCGGACCUCAUAAAGUGCGUCGUAGUCCGGAUUGGAGUCUGCAACUCGACUCCAUGAAGUCGGAAUCGCUAGUAAUCGUAGAUCAGAAUGCUACGGUGAAUACGUUCCCGG
rnacentral:rRNA from 1 species